rnacentral:lncRNA from 1 species
GUUGAACCGAGGCCGGUUAAGAGGGCGCCUACUGUAAUUAUAAAAUAUAUGUAAAUAAUAAUAAUAAUUUUAUUAUUAUGGUUGGUUGCAUACUCAGCUUUUAUUAUGACUGGAAAUGGUAUUGGACCAAAGGAUCUGGAAUAAGCAGACUAUUGUUGUUAUGAAGUUAGCAUGAUGUUACAAGUAUAAUUGCAAUAUGUGUGCUGUUCCAAGUAAGGUGGUUUUUUUAAUUGGCUGAUGGCUAACUGCUUGAUAUUGAUGGUGUUCAAGUGCUACUCCAGAUGUUUCAAUAUUGCAGCUAGAGCACCUAUUACUAUUGGAACUAUUUUUCUCUCCUCUAUCACAAUCUUUCAGUUUCAAUUUGCAGGUCUUUAUAUUUUAUUUUUCCCAGUUCUUUUUCUUCUAUUCUGUUGUUACCAGGUAUUGAUAUGCCAGCUAUAAAGACUACAUUAUUAUUAUGUACAUAAUAAUAGAGCAUCAAAUGUAAGUCUGAGUCAAAAAUUUUGAUUUGUUUGUUUAAAGAAGAAAAUACCUUUUUAUGAACAAGAAUUGUUAAGAAAAUAUAUUCUAUUAUUUGUAUGCUAUAGUAAUAAAAUAUGUAUAUUUUUAAUAAAAAGUAAUGAAAGAAAAAAAAAUAAUAAAAUUUGUUCUACCAUUAUAACACCAAAUUUAAA